rnacentral:rRNA from 1 species
UCCUACGGGGGAGGCAGCAGUAGGGAAUCUUCCACAAUGGACGAAAGUCUGAUGGAGCAACGCCGCGUGAGUGAAGAAGGAUUUCGGUUCGUAAAACUCUGUUGCAAGGGAAGAACAAGUAGCGUAGUAACUGGCGCUACCUUGACGGUACCUUGUUAGAAAGCCACGGCUAACUACGUGCCAGCAGCCGCGGUAAUACGUAGGUGGCAAGCGUUGUCCGGAAUUAUUGGGCGUAAAGCGCGCGCAGGUGGUUCCUUAAGUCUGAUGUGAAAGCCCCCGGCUCAACCGGGGAGGGUCAUUGGAAACUGGGGAACUUGAGUGCAGAAGAGGAUAGUGGAAUUCCAAGUGUAGCGGUGAAAUGCGUAGAGAUUUGGAGGAACACCAGUGGCGAAGGCGACUGUCUGGUCUGUAACUGACACUGAGGCGCGAAAGCGUGGGGAGCAAACAGGAUUAGAUACCCUGGUAGUCCACGCCGUAAACGAUGAGUGCUAAGUGUUGGGGGGUUUCCGCCCCUUAGUGCUGCAGCUAACGCAUUAAGCACUCCGCCUGGGGAGUACGGCCGCAAGGCUGAAACUCAAG